rnacentral:rRNA from 1 species
GUGGGGAAUAUUGGGCAAUGGACGCAAGUCUGACCCAGCAACGCCGCGUGAAGGAAGAAGGCUUUCGGGUUGUAAACUUCUUUGACAGGGGAAGAGCAGAAGACGGUACCCUGAAAACAAGCCACGGCUAACUACGUGCCAGCAGCCGCGGUAAUACGUAGGUGGCAAGCGUUGUCCGGAUUUACUGGGUGUAAAGGGCGUGCAGCCGGGUCGGCAAGUCAGAUGUGAAAUGCAUGGGCUUAACCCAUGAACUGCAUUUGAAACUGUCGAUCUUGAGUGCCGGAGAGGUAAUCGGAAUUCCUUGUGUAGCGGUGAAAUGCGUAGAUAUAAGGAAGAACACCAGUGGCGAAGGCGGAUUACUGGACGGUAACUGACGGUGAGGCGCGAAAGCGUGGGGAGCAAACAGG